rnacentral:rRNA from 1 species
GGCCUACCAUGGUGGUAACGGGUAACGGGGAAUUAGGGUUCGAUUCCGGAGAGGGAGCCUGAGAAACGGCUACCACAUCCAAGGAAGGCAGCAGGCGCGCAAAUUACCCAAUCCCGACACGGGGAGGUAGUGACAAUAAAUAACAAUACGGGGCUCUUUCGGGUCUCGUAAUUGGAAUGAGUACAAUUUAAAUCCCUUAACGAGGAACAAUUGGAGGGCAAGUCUGGUGCCAGCAGCCGCGGUAAUUCCAGCUCCAAUAGCGUAUAUUAAAGUUGUUGCAGUUAAAAAGCUCGUAGUUGAAUUUCGGGAUUGACACAUCGGUCGUGCCUUAAGGGGUAUGAACUGGUGUAGUCAAUUUCUCACCUUCUGGAGAACCGCGAUGCCCUUAAUUGGGUGUCACGGGGAACCAGGACCUUUACUUUGAAAAAAUUAGAGUGUUUAAAGCAGGCAUUUUGCUUGAAUACAUUAGCAUGGAAUAAUAAAAUAGGACGGCAUGAUUCUAUUUUGUUGGUUUCUAGGAUCACCGUAAUGAUUAAUAGGGAUAGUUGGGGGCAUUAGUAUUCAAUUGUCAGAGGUGAAAUUCUUGGAUUUAUUGAAGACUAACUACUGCGAAAGCAUUUGCCAAGGAUGUUUUCAUUAAUCAAGAACGAAAGUUAGGGGAUCGAAGACGAUCAGAUACCGUCGUAGUCUUAACCAUAAACUAUGCCGACUAGGAAUCAGACGAUGUUAAUUUUUUAAUGACUCGUUUGGCACCUUACGGGAAACCAAAGUGUUUGGGUUC